UCCCACGUGGUCUAGUGGUUAGGAUUCGCCGCUCUCACCGCCGCGGCCCGGGUUCGAUUCCCGGCGUGGGAA
rnacentral:tRNA from 1 species